rnacentral:rRNA from 1 species
UACGGAGGGUGCAAGCAUUAAUCGGAUUUAUUGGGCGUAAAGGGCGUGUAGGCGGGAGUGAACGUCAGAUGUGAAAUCCCGAGGCUCAACCUCGGAACGGCAUUUGAAACUCCAUUUCUAGAGGAUAGGCGGGGAAAACGGAAUUCCACAUGUAGCGGUGAAAUGCGUAGAUAUGUGGAGGAACACCGGUGGCGAAGGCGGUUUUCUAGCUUAUACCUGACGCUGAGGCGCGAAAGCAAGGGGAGCAAACAGG